rnacentral:lncRNA from 1 species
GUGGAAUUUUAAGAGAUCGAGAGUCCCAAACUUCUCUACAUGCUUCAAUACCAUCCGCAUGGGGAAUAUUCGUAUAGAGAGAGGUGACAUCCAUAGUGACAAGAGUAGUAUUGGCAGGUAGAGGGUUUAAAUCCUGCAUCUUUAGUAAGUAAUCUGUAGAAUCUUUAAUAAAAGAUGGCAAGUUUUCUACAUGAGGUCGAAGAUAGUAAUCAACGAAUUCGGAUAUUUUUUCUGUGGGAUGACCAUUAGCUGAGACGAUUGGUCUACCUGGGUUACCAGGUUUAUGAAUUUUAGGGAGCAGGUAGAAUCGCCCAGGUUUUGAAUUUUCAGGUUUUAAAUAUUUGAAAGUAUCUAUAUCAAUGAUGUUAUUGUCACACAUUUCCUUUAAACAUUCUGUUAUUUCCUCGCUGAAUUGGAGGGUGGGGUCCGAAUUAAGUUUUCUGUAAAACCGGUCAUCAUCUAAUUGGCGAAUGGCCUCUUGGACAUAGUUAGAUUUGUCCAUGACGACAACUGCACUCCCUUUGUCUGCAGGUUUAAUAACAAUGUCGUCAUUAUCUCUCAAAUUUGUCAAAGCCACACGUUCAUCAGGUGUUAAAUUAUCAUAGGUCUGAUUGUUUAUUUUUACAUUUGUAAGUAUAUCCGUUUUAACAUUGUCUAUAAAUGAUUCUAAGGUGGUGUUUUUGCUUGGUUUAGGGACCCAGUUGCUUUUCUUUCUAAAUCUAUAUUCGUUGGAGUCAUCAGAGUCACUAUCUGAGGUGGUGCUAUCGUCCUCUUUCGAUGCAAAAUGUUCCUUGAUGCGGAGGCUCCUGGCAAAAUAAUCCAGUUCCUCAGACAAUUUAGUAUCAUUCACUGGACCUGGGACUGGACAAAAGUUUAGGCCUCUGGAUAGUAAUGACGUUUCGUCCUCAGUAAGUUGUUUGCUGGAAAGAUUAACAACGGUAUUGAUCUUGUUGCUAAGGACUUGAGGUCUACGUCUAAAAUGUCUGUUUUUGGUUUUAUUAUUUUUUUUUUCUUUUGUACUAACGGAUGGGAAAGAAGUACCAUCCCGUUGAAAUUUGCAUCUUUGUCUGGAGCGGAGAGUGGCGGUCUUAGUGUUGGUUAUAUCUCUCAGGCGCUCUUGGAUGUUCUCGAAUUCACUUGCUGUUAGAUCUGUUUUGCAAGCCUGAGACAAGGAGUCAAAUUGAAGUGUUAGGUUUUUAAGAUGUUCAAUACAGUGUUCUCUAAGAAGUAUGAGUAGACGGAGGGAACAGUGAAAUAGGGUUUGAUCCCACCUGCGAAGAAAUGUAUUAGACAGGUUGCCGGUAGUUUGAGGCAGUGCUUUAAUACAUAAGCCACUGGGAAUAACAUUAUUGUCAAUAUAAUGACAGUAAUUAGAAAGAUGGUGUCUAGUACUAAUUUGUUGUUGUUUAGUGAUCCUUAGUUGUUUAAAAUAUUGAUCAUAAUUCAUGUUGUACACAGUUGGAAUAUAAGUCUGCUGGGAUCAUGAAAAACACAAUGCAGGU